rnacentral:rRNA from 1 species
UACGGGGGGGGCAAGCGUUGUUCGGAAUUACUGGGCGUAAAGGGCUCGUAGGCGGCCAACUAAGUCGGACGUGAAAUCCCCAGGCUCAACCUCGGAACUGCCUUUGAUACAGUCAAGUCUUGGGUUCGAGAGAGGUGGGUGGAAUUGCCUAGUGUAGAGGUGAAAUUCGUAGAUAUUAGGAAGAACACGGUGGCGAAGGCGGCCCACUGGCUC